rnacentral:tRNA from 1 species
GGAGGGGUGGCCGAGUCCGGUUUAAAGCGUCCGACUCGAAAUCGGAUAUCCUGCCAAAAGCAGGAUCGGGGGUUCAAAUCCCUCCCCCUCCG